rnacentral:rRNA from 1 species
GAUAAACGCUGGCGGCGUGCUUCAGGCAUGCAAGUCGAACGCCCCGAUUCGUCGGGGAGUGGCGGACGGGUGAGUAACACGUAAGUAACCUGCCCAGAAGUGGGGAAUAACCCGCCGAAAGGUGAGCUAAUACCGCAUGUGAUGGCUUUUCUACGGGAAAGUUAUUAAAGGCUUAGGUCGCUUCUGGAGGGGCUUGCGGCUGAUUAGCUAGUUGGUGGGGUAAUGGCCUACCAAGGCAACGAUCGGUAGCUGGUCUGAGAGGAUGGUCAGCCACACGGGGACUGAGAUACGGCCCCGACUCCUACGGGAGGCAGCAGCUAGGAAGCUUGGGAAUGGGCGAAAGCCUGACCCAGCAACGCCGCGUGGGCGACGAAGGCCUUCGGGUCGUAAAGCCCUUUUGCGGGGGACGAUGAUGACGGUACCCCGCGAAUAAGCCACGGCUAACUACGUGCCAGCCGCCGCAGUAAUAC